ACGCUCGACACCUACAGGCAGCAGUGGGGAAUAUUGCACAAUGGGGGAAACCCUGAUGCAGCGACGCCGCGUGAGUGAAGAAGUAUUUCGGUAUGUAAAGCUCUAUCAGCAGGGAAGAAGAUGACGGUACCUGAGUAAGAAGCACCGGCUAAAUACGUGCCAGCAGCCGCGGUAAUCUGAGCGGGCUGGCAAGGC
rnacentral:rRNA from 1 species